ensembl:snRNA U2 U2 spliceosomal RNA
AUUGCUUCUCUGCAUUUUGACUAAGAUCAAGUUUCAUAUCUGUUCUUAUCAGUUUAGUAUUUGAUUCUUCCUCUAUCCAAAUAUGCAGUUGAAUUGGCUGUAUCAUAACACCU